rnacentral:rRNA from 1 species
GACGAACGCUGGCGGCGUGCUUAACACAUGCAAGUCGAGCGGUAAGGCCCUUUCGGGGGUACACGAGCGGCGAACGGGUGAGUAACACGUGGGUGACCUGCCCUCAGCUCUGGGAUAAGCCUGGGAAACCGGGUCUAAUACCGGAUAUGACUCCAUGACGCAUGUUGUGGGGUGGAAAGCCUUGUGCGGCUGAGGAUGGGCCCGCGGCCUAUCAGCUUGUUGGUGGGGUGAUGGCCUACCAAGGCGACGACGGGUAGCCGGCCUGAGAGGGCGACCGGCCACACUGGGACUGAGACACGGCCCAGACUCCUACGGGAGGCAGCAGUGGGGAAUCUUGCGCAAUGGGCGAAAGCCUGAUCCAGCCAUGCCGCGUGAGUGAUGAAGGCCUUAGGGUUGUAAAGCUCUUUUACCCGGGAAGAUAAUGACGAUACCGGGAGAAUAAGCCCGGCUAACUUCGUGCCAGCAGCCGCUGUAAG